rnacentral:rRNA from 1 species
UACGUAGGGGGCGAGCGUUGUCCGGAUUUACUGGGCGUAAAGAGCGCGUAGGCGGAAAUUUAAGCGUGGCCUGAAAGCCCCCGGCUCAACCGGGGAGUGCGGCUGCGAACUGGGUUUCUUGAGGACGAUAGAGGAGAGUGGAAUUCCUGGUGUAGCGGUGAAAUGCGUAGAUAUCUGGAGGAACACCGGUGGCGAAGGCGACAUCCUGGACCGGUAUUGACGCUGAGGCGCGAAAGCCAGGGGAGCAAACGGG